CAGGAUGUGCCUAAUCACGGUUUCCGUCCUGGCAUGAAGCUGGAGGCAGUUGACCUCAUGGAGCCCCGGCUCGUCUGUGUCGCCACAGUGACCCGCAUCGUCCACCGCUUGCUACGGAUACAUUUUGACGGCUGGGAGGAUGAGUACGAUCAGUGGGUGGACUGUGAGUCACCUGAUCUGUACCCAGUCGGCUGGUGUCAGCUGACUGGGUACCAGCUACAGCCACCAGCUGUCAGCACAGGUAACACACACACAGUCAGCUGAGCUGUAUUUUCUGUCAUGGGGAUAACUCUGUGAAGGUUAAAAUGAUUGGUUUGAAUGGUUUCAGGCUCCAGAGAUCUGCAUUCAGCAGCAUCCAAACAGAGGAAGAAAUCACAGCAGUACAAGGGACAAAAGAAAAAGAGGAAGUUGCCCGUCGCCAAGCGACCUGUCAGUCUCUCUGGUGCCGUGGUAACAGGUGUUCCCAGAAGCUUAUCGGGAGACGAAAACGAGACUCCGCCCGAUUACCCAUCACCCCCACCUCUGGCUUCAGCAGCCCAGCUGCCCUCUGCUGGCCCAGACAGCAGUCCUCAUAGUAACACAGGCACAGGUGCACAGGUCAAAGAGAAUAACACUGCCGGGCUGGAUUUACCUUCUCAAAGGAUUGGAACGGAAACCAACAGAUCCUCUACAGAUUUCCUCACCAACCAAGACCAGAAGUAGGCCCCGUCCAUCCCUCUUUCCCUUAAUCUCUCUACACGUCUCUCUGCUCAUAGGUCCACUGUGAUCAGUUCAGAAACAUCUGCCAGCUUCAUUAGCUGUACUCCACUCUUUAACUUGUUUCUCAAAUGUUUCAAGAGCAGAAACUCUUCUAAGACUGCUGUCUGCUAAAGAAGUACAAUGAAAGCGUCAAUGUACACAUUAUCGGAUCAACACCAAAAAAAACACGAAGGAAUCUUUUCUAUUAUUUGUUUUUAAUGCCACGAUCUUGAUGGCUGUUUCUCGGUGUUAAUGUGGUGUGUUCGAGGGUCAGAACUCCUGACGUAAUCAUAUGAAACUAAAUACUGUGCUAUGUCACAUUGAGAUUAGCAGUCAUUGAAAAACACUGUGUGUUGGUAUAAAUGUGUGUGUGUGUGUGUGUGUGUGUGUUAGAUUGACAAACUGUCAGCACAGCACUGAACGAAUAACCAGCUAAGAGGAGCCACGACUUCCUGAACCAAAAGUUUCAGCUUAAAAAAGAGGCUCUGUGGAAAGCUGACGGUCACGUGACAAUCGAAAGCUGGCACAUCGGUGGAAAAUACGACAGAUUGAACUAAAGCAUAGUUAUACAUUUAGCUGUAUUUAUAAAGUUCAGUAAAUAAAAUAUUGUUGGUUAAACUUUCA
rnacentral:lncRNA from 1 species